GCCCCGGUGGUGUAGCCCGGUCAAUCAUGUGGGACUCUCGAUCCCGCGACCCGGGUUCAAAUCCCGGCCGGGGCA
rnacentral:tRNA from 1 species